UGGGGAAUUUUCCGCAAUGGGCGAAAGCCUGACGGAGUGACGCCGCGUGUGGGACGAAGGCCUUCGGGUCGUAAACCACUGUCAGUGGGAAAGAGGGAUGUCGGCGCGAUAACCGCCGGCAUUUGACGGUACCUGCAGAGGAAGCCCCGGCUAACUCUGUGCCAGCGGCCGCGGUAAGACAGAGGGGGCAAGCGUUGCUCGGAAUUACUGGGCGUAAAGGGCGCGUAGGCGGGAUGGCAAGUCGGUCGUGAAAUCCCUCGGCUCAACCGAGGAUCGUCGAUCGAUACUGCCGUUCUUGAGGAUUGCAGAGGAGACUGGAAUUCCCGGUGUAGCGGUGAAAUGUGUAGAGAUCGGGAGGAACACCGGUGGCGAAAGGCGGGUCUCUGGGCGAAUUCCUGACGCCGAGGCGCGAAAGCGUGGGGAGCAAACGGGAUUAGAUACCCCGGUAGUCCACGCUGUAACGAUGACGACUAGGUGUGGGGGGUUCAGUCCCUUCCGUGCCGCAGCUAACGCAUUAAGUCG
rnacentral:rRNA from 1 species